CAGCCGCCGCGGUAAUACGAAGGGUGCAAGCGUUACUCGGAAUUACUGGGCGUAAAGCGUGUGUAGGUGGUUGUUUAAGUCUGUCGUGAAAGCCCUGGGCUCAACCUGGGAAUUGCGAUGGAUACUGGGCGACUAGAGUGCGGUAGAGGAUAGUGGAAUUUCCGGUGUAGCAGUGAAAUGCGUAGAGAUCGGAAGGAACAUCUGUGGCGAAGGCGACUAUCUGGGCCAACACUGACACUGAGACACGAAGGCGUGGGGAGCAAACAGGAUUAGAUACCCCCGUAGUCCCUGUCUCUUAUAC
rnacentral:rRNA from 1 species